AGAGUUUGAUCAUGGCUCAGAAUCAACGCUGGCGGCGUGCCUCAGACAUGCAAGUCGAACGAUUAAAGCUCUCUUCGGAGAGUGUAUAGAGUGGCGCACGGGUGAGUAACACGUAAGUAAUCUACCCUCGAGUGGGGAAUAACAACCGGAAACGGUUGCUAAUACCGCAUAAUGCAGCGGCACCGCAAGGUGACAGUUGUUAAAGAUUUAUCGCUUGAGGAGGAGCUUGCGGCAGAUUAGCUAGUUGGUAGGGUAACGGCUUACCAAGGCUACGAUCUGUAACCGGUCUAAGAGGACGGUCGGUCACACUGACACUGAAUAACGGGUCAGACUCCUACGGGAGGCAGCAGUCGUGAAUUUUGGGCAAUGGGCGAAAGCCUGACCCAGCAACGCCGCGUGAAGGAUGAAGUAUUUCGGUAUGUAAACUUCGAAAGAAUAGGAAGAAUUAAUGACGGUACUAUUUAUAAGGUCCGGCUAACUACGUG
rnacentral:rRNA from 1 species